CCCUGCCAAAUCCCCCUCUGGGAGAAACACCCAAGAAUGAUCAAUUAAAAAAAUAAAAAAAUAAAUAAAUGUGAACAGUACAGUCCCCUUUUCCUUUUAUAAAUGAAGAAAAACAAAGGCUCACUCCAAGAGUCAGACUUGCUAAAGGCUUUGAUGAUUUGCAGUAUUCUUAUUUAAAUGUACAGAGCCAGCUUCAGAGGAAGGUUCUUCCAAAGACCUAUCCCCUCCAUGACACCAACCAUCCAUGAUUUUUUUUUUUUUUUUUGAGACGGAGUCUUACUCUGUUGCCCAGGCUGGAGUGCAGUGGCAUGAUCUCGGCUCACUGCAAGCUCUGCCUCCCAGGCUCACACCAUUCUCCUGCCUCAGCCUCCCAAGCAGCUGGGACUACAGGCACCCGCCACCACACCUGGCUAAUUUUUUUGUAUUUUUUUAGUAGAGAUGGGGUUUCACCUGUAGCAGGACGAGCUGCAGACAAAACUCCUCAGACACCGAGUUAAAGAAGGAAGGGGUUUAUUAGGCCGGAGGCAUCAGCAAGACUCCUGUCUCAAGAGCCGAGCCCCCGCCCCGAGUGAGCAAUUCCUGUCCCUUUUAAGGACUCACAAGUCUAAGGGGGUGUGCGUGAGAGGGUCGUGAUCGAUUGAGCAAGCAGGAGGUACGUGGGUACGUGACUGGGGGCUGCACGCACCAGUAAUUAGAUUGGAACAAAACAGGAAUGAGAUUUUCACAAUGCUUUUCUAUACAAUGUCUGUAAUCUAUAGAUAACAUAACCGAUUAGGUCCGGGAUUGAUUUUCAACUACCAGUCCCAGGGUGUGGCGCCCGGGCUGUCUGCUUGUGGAUUUCAUUUCUGCCUUUUAGUUUUUACUUUUUCUUUCUUUGGAGGCAGAAAUUGGGCAUAAGACAAUAUGAGGGGUGGUCUCCUCCCUUAUUCCCCCACUUUGAGACUCUCACUCAAUAGCAGGAGUUGUUUCAUGUUUACUACCCAUGUCUUCUUGCUAGACAGAUCAAUAGUGAUUUAUAUAGUACACUUGUGCUGAUGCAUUUUGGUAUACUAAGGUAGCGAUGAAGCUUUUUAUCAUUUGAAGAAGUACAGGUAGCAAACGAGGGAGCAGUAAGUAGGUUCCUAUUACUAUUAUAACUCUUAUUAUAAGAGUUUUAAAUCCUCCUAGCGCUGGGAACCAUUUUCUAAACAUGGCCCCAGGAUCAAAUCCAUGCCACACUUGCACGGGCACAUGUGCCACUUUUGUCAUAUCUCUAACUAUGUCUUCAACUACUUGCCCUUGGUUAUCUAUGUGUAGGCAGCAAUUAGUAAGGUUAAAUUUCCUACAGACCUCUCCUUCAGCUGCUAGCAAGUAGUCGAGAGCUAAUCUAUUUUGAUAGAUAGCAUUUCUCAUCUGAGUUUCUUGCUGGGCCAGAAUAGUCAAGGCUCUGCCGGUUGCAGUGAUUAUUUUUAAGACAGCUUGUAACCGUAUGAUUCAGUUGAUCAUAUAAAUGGGGAUCCGGUAUCCCCACGAGCCAUCUUGUGCCUAAGUAGCAGGCCCAUAAUACUGUAUGAUUCUCUCAGGGGGCCAUUUAUCAUUGUUUCAAUUUCUUAUAGCUAUGCUUUUCACGGGAAGCAUAGACAGGGAAGCCCAGGAGUUCUCCUGUUUUUAUGGACAGUAGGAAGAAAGAUGGUUUAAUAGUGCCAAUAACACAACUACUUGUCAGGCAGCUUAGUGUAGGCUCUAUGUCCACAUAUCCAGUAUAGCCCAGUGGGGGCUGUCCAGUCCCGGUGGGAUUCUGGGUGGGCCUAAACGGUCUGCAACUUUGGAAAUUUACUGAAUGGAUUUUUCUCUGUGUGGUUUGAACUCCACCAUGUAGUCUUCCUACAGGAAGGGUGAAGUCCUUCUCCACUCUUGCUAUAUAGUAUUGUCUAAUGAUUGAGGCUUUUAGGACCCAGAAAUUAUCAGGGUGAUUCUUUUGAGCUGGGAAUUCAUCAGGAACUGGGUCUGUAGGUACUAAUUCUCGGGCUUCCCAUGGCCAUUGAUCUGCUAUUACAGUUCCUCCACAUACAUAACAUGAAGUGACAGUGAGAGACUGGGCUACAUGCUCGGCUAAUUGCAAAAACAAAUUUCUUGUUUUUCCUGGAAAUUCUGUUAUUGGCACAUUUAGUUCAUCAUAGAAAGUUUGAAACACUGGCUCAAGAGAGCAUUUGUAAACUUCUCCUCGAACCAAGAUAUUUACUCGGGGAUUCAGUCCAGCCCCAUUGAUUCCUAAGGUCACACGCUACUCUUUUUUCCAGCGAGGAUCAAGGGGAUUGGUUAUUACUAGCUCUAAGGGGUUACAUUGUCCCUUAGCACAGGAAGGGCCAUUUUUUUCCUUUCUGAAGGUGGACUGGAUCCUUUUCAUUUUUUUUAAAUCCAAGUGGCCUAAAUGACACAAGACCAGUAUUUACAUUUAUUUCCACACAGUCCUAAUUUAUGACAGAUGUACUUAUUUUCUGCCAUAUAGCCUCUUUUCUAAUUAAGAGAACCACACUUUAUUCCUAACUUAUUACUAUUAAUGACAGCACAGGCAUCAAAUUUUAAGGUGACUUGUUUGGGCACCCCUUUUUCUUCUGUUUUGGCUAACACUUUACUCAUAUCAUUUAUGAGCCCCCACCAGUCCUCAGUCCUUAAUCUUAUUUUAAAAACCGUGGUCAUGGGAGGCUCAGAUGGGUCAUAACACACAUCAGGUUGGUCACUUCCUGGGCUACAUACCUUGUACAGAAUAACAUUAUACAAACAAGUUAUUUUUAGAGUUCCAGUACACUUAUAAUAACCAUAAAAUAAUAGGACUGUAGCAACCUUUUGUCCUACCUCAGUGACUUGAUGUAUACACUGGAACAGUCCUCAGUCUGAGGAAGGUCAGUUGAAGUCCUUACUGUAAAAGUCCAAAUUUUAAGGAAAAUGAGUUCCGCAAUGAGUUUUCUCAUGCUUCGGCCGUGCGUGGACCAGUCAGCUUCUGGGUGUGACUGGAGCAGAGCUUGUCGUCUUCUUCAGAGUCACUUUGCAGGGGUUGGCGAAGCUACUCCCGUCCACGUACCCCUCACAGUCUACUGAUGUUUAAGGAUAGUCUCGGAGGUUGGGCCUGCUAGAAUAAACUGAGUCCAACACCUCUACACAGUAUGUUCAACUAGGCUCUCUGAUACCAGGAGCAAGGUGGUGGGGUUUAGGGUGUUGCAAACUUCAGUGGUUAUGUGGGGAUUUUCACAUAGCAAGCUUUGGUACUUGGUUAAUCUAGCAUUUGUAACCAAUGAGGUCCUUUGGUAGUCAUUAAAGUUACCACAGCAUGGGGGGCCUUUAUAUUCAGGUUUUCCUAAGGGUUAGUUUAUCUGCUUCUUGUGCUAACAGGGCUGUUGCUGCUAGGGCCCUUAGACCUGGGGGCCAGCCUUUGGAAAUCCUGUCUAGUUGUUUUGAGAGAUAGGCCACUGGCCUUGGCCAGGGCCUCACAGUAUGGGUUAAAACUCCAACUGCCAUUUUUUCUCUUUCUGACACAUAGAGUGUAAAGAGUUUUGUCAGGUCAGGUAGCCUCAGGGCUGGGACCAACAUGAGGUUUUCUUUUAACUCAUGAAAACCUCGUUGUUGUUGGUUGUAAUAGAUGUAGUUUAUCUAAUCUACAUUUUUAUUAACUGUCACCCACUAAAAUAUUGACUUAAAUCCUGCAGCUAUUUGAUUUCAAGCUUUAAAUUGAUCUGGUAUUCUUCGUGGGACUCCAAUUGCAUCUAAAUAGACAUGAGAGUCGAAAGACCCAUAAGGGGCUUCUCUCGCUUUACAAUGUCUUUCUUUUUUUCCUUCUGGUUGAUGAAAUGCCAGGGUGAAAGGGAUAGCCAAUUGGACUAAAGUACAAGUGCCACUCCAGUUAUUUGGCAGAGUGCCCAGUAAAGGUCCACCACAAUACCACCACACAUCUGCUCGGGGAUGAACAAGGGCUGACUGAUUGAUAAGCUCUUGAAAAUUCUUAAGCUAACUGCAUCCUUUCAGGUCUCCAAGGAACGCUAAGUUUCCUCCCUGUUGUGAGAGACAUGAAGUGAACUUAGUGUUGGGAGAUGGAGGAUGGAUGGCCCUCGGGGGCUGACCCGCAGGGUGCUGGACUUUGGGAUAUAGCAGAGAGAGCUUGGCAUGACUUAUUAAUACAGGCUGUAGAAUCCUGGAAAAGAGCUACCAGGCAGCCCACAUCUGGUCGACUGGAGGACCACCUUAGUGGAAAGGGGACAAUCUGGGCCUCUGGCCUGCCAUGUGCACAAGCAUAACAAUUGCUUUUGUUUAACGUGCAGAUGGAAUAUUUGAUGCAUUUUAACCAGGCAUUUGCAUCUUGGUAUCCUGUCUUCAUUGGUAAAGUUUGUUUUAACUCUUUAACUUCUAUGAUCCUCUAGUAAAACGAAUGUAUGGUUUUAGGAAAUUACAAAAACUGGUUGGGGCAGUCCAUUCUUGCUCUUUAGUGG
rnacentral:lncRNA from 1 species